rnacentral:rRNA from 1 species
AGGCAGCAGUGGGGAAUAUUGGAUAAUGGGCGCAAGCCUGAUCCAGCCAUGCCGCGUGUGUGAAGAAGGCCUUCGGGUUGUAAAGCACUUUAAGCGAGGAGGAAGGUCUUUGAACUAAUAUUUCAAAGAAUUGACGUUACUCGCAGAAUAAGCACCGGCUAACUCUGUGCCAGCAGCCGCGGUAAUACAGAGGGUGCAAGCGUUAAUCGGAAUUACUGGGCGUAAAGCGCGCGUAGGCGGUAUGUUAAGUCGGAUGUGAAAUCCCCUGGGCUCAACCUAGGCAUUGCAUCCGAUACUGGCACACUAGAGUGUGGGAGAGGAAGGUAGAAUUCCAGGUGUAGCGGUGAAAUGCGUAGAGAUCUGGAGGAAUACCGAUGGCGAAGGCAGCCUUCUGGCCUAACACUGACGCUGAGGUGCGAGAGCAUGGGGAGCAAACAGGAUUAGAUACCCUGGUAGUCCAUGCCGUAAACGAUGUCAACUAGCCGUUGGGCUCCUUGAGGGCUUAGUGGCGCAGCUAACGCGAUAAGUUGACCGCCUGGGGAGUACGGUCGCAAGAUUAAAACUCAAAUGAAUUGACGGGGGC